rnacentral:rRNA from 1 species
CCUACGGGGGGCAGCAGUCGAGAAUCAUUCACAAUGGGGGAAACCCUGAUGGUGCGACGCCGCGUGGGGGAAUGAAGGUCUUCGGAUUGUAAACCCCUGUCAUGUGGGAGCAAAUUAAAAAGAUAGUACCACAAGAGGAAGAGACGGCUAACUCUGUGCCAGCAGCCGCGGUAAUACAGAGGUCUCAAGCGUUGUUCGGAAUCACUGGGCGUAAAGUGUGCGUAGGCUGUUUCGUAAGUCGUGUGUGAAAGGCGCGGGCUCAACCCGCGGACGGCACAUGAUACUGCGAGACUAGAGUAAUGGAGGGGGAACCGGAAUUCUCGGUGUAGCAGUGAAAUGCGUAGAUAUCGAGAGGAACACUCGUGGCGAAGGUGGGUUCCUGGACAUUAACUGACGCUGAGGCACGAAGGCCAGGGGAGCGAAAGGGAUUAGAUACCCCAGUAGUC